rnacentral:lncRNA from 1 species
CAGAGAUCUGCCUGACUUGCUCCUUGAGUGCUGGGAACAAAGGCAUCUGGAAGGCAGCUUAGCAGGACACUGGAGGCAGGACAAUGAUAUCUGAUGACAUUCAGAGGCUUGACCUGUAUACACAGGUAUCUGCAGUUUCAUUUUUUUCUUAACUUCUGAAUAAUAUUCCACUGUGUAAAUGUACCGUAUUUUUAUUAUUCAUUCAUCAGUUGAUAGAUAUCUAGGUUGGCUUUCUUUCCUAGCAAUAAAAAUAUAGGAUCA